CAGUCGCCGCGGGAAUACGAAGGGUGCAAGCGUUAAUCGGAAUUACUGGGCGUAAAGCGUGCGUAGGCGGUUUGUUAAGUCUGUUGUGAAAUCCCCGGGCUCAACCUGGGAUUGGCAGUGGAUACUGGCAAGCUAGAGUGUGUCAGAGGAUGGUGGAAUUCCCGGUGUAGCGGUGAAAUGCGUAGAGAUCGGGAGGAACAUCAGUGGCGAAGGCGGCCAUCUGGGACAACACUGACGCUGAGGCACGAAAGCGUGGGGAGCAAACAGGAUUAGAUACCCCCGUAGUCCCUGUCUCUUAUAC
rnacentral:rRNA from 1 species